UACGUAGGGUGCGAGCGUUGUCCGGAAUUAUUGGGCGUAAAGAGCUCGUAGGCGGUGUGUCACGUCGGCCGUGAAAACCUGCAGCUUAACUGUGGGCGUGCGGUCGAUACGGGCAUCACUGGAGUUCGGCAGGGGAGACUGGAAUUCCUGGUGUAGCGGUGAAAUUCGUAGAUAUCGGGAGGAACACCAGUGGCGAAGGCGGAGACCUGGGCCGAUACUGACGCUGAGGUGCGAAAGCGUGGGGAGCAAACAGG
rnacentral:rRNA from 1 species